AACGAACGCUGGCGGCAUGCCUAACACAUGCAAGUCGAACGAACCCUUCGGGGUUAGUGGCGCACGGGUGCGUAACGCGUGGGAAUCUGCCCUUUGCUUCGGAAUAACUCAGGGAAACUUGUGCUAAUACCGGAUGAUGUCUUCGGACCAAAGAUUUAUCGGCAAGGGAUGAGCCCGCGUAGGAUUAGGUAGUUGGUGGGGUAAAGGCCUACCAAGCCGACGAUCCUUAGCUGGUCUGAGAGGAUGAGCAGCCACACUGGGACUGAGACACGGCCCAGACUCCUACGGGAGGCAGCAGUAGGGAAUAUAGGACACUGGGCGCAAGCCUGAUCCAGCAAUGCCGCGUGAGUGAUGAAGGCCCUCGGGUCGUAAAGCUCUUUUACCAGGGAUGAUAAUGACAGUACCUGGAGAAUAAGCUCCGGCUAACUCCGUG
rnacentral:rRNA from 1 species